rnacentral:rRNA from 1 species
GGCAUGAUACACGCGGUAGAGGGGUAGAGGCUUUCGGGUCCUUGGAUACUCGUUGUCACGGGUGCGUAACGCGUAUGCAAUCUGCCUUUCACAGCAGGAAUAGCCCAGAUAAAUUUGUGAUUAAUACCUCAUAGUCAUAGACCUAACGCGCAUGGGGCUGAUUAUUAAAGUCACAACGGUGUCAAGGAUGAGCAUGCGUCCCAUUAUCGAGUUGGUAAGGUAACGGCUUACCAAGGCGACUAUGGGUAGGGGUCCUGAGAGGGUGCAUCCCCCACACUGGUACUGAGACACGGACCAGACUCCUACAGGAGGCAGCAGUGAGGAAUAUUGGUCAAUGGGCGCAAGCCUGAACCAGCCAUGCCGCGUGCACGAUGACGGUCCUAUGGAUUGUAAACUGCUUUUGCACAGGAAGAAACACUCAGACGUGUAGGAGCUUGACUGUACUGUGAGAAUAAGGAUCGGCUAACUCCGUGCCAGCAGCCGCGGUAAUACGGAGGAUCCAAGCGUUAUCCGGAAUCAUUGGGUUUAAAGGGUCCGUAGGCGGUCUUGUAAGUCAGUGGUGAAAGCCCAUCGCUCAACGGUGGAACGGCCAUUGAUACUGCAGGACUUGAAUUAUUGGGAAGUACUAGAAUAUGUAGUGUAGCGGUGAAAUGCUUAGAGAUUACAUGGAAUACCAAUUGCGAAGGCAGGUUACUACCAAUUAUUGACGCUGAUGGACGAAAGCGUGGGUAGCGAACAGGAUUAGAUACCCUGGUAGUCCACGCCGUAAACGAUGGAUCUAGCUGUUGGAAGCAAUUCAGUGGCUAAGCGAAAGUGAUAAGUAUCCCACUGGGGAGUCGUACGCAAGUUUGAAACUCAAAGGAAUUGACGGGGGCCCGCACAAGGGGUGGAGCAUGUGGUUUAAUUCGAUGAUACGCGAGGAACCUUACCAAGGCUUAAAUGCAGACUGACCGAUUUGGAAACAGAUCUUUCGCAAGACAGUUUACAAGGUGCUGCAUGGUUGUCGUCAGCUCGUGCCGUGAGGUGUCAGGUUAAGUCCUAUAACGAGCGCAUACCCCUGUUGUUAGUUGUCCAGCGAGUCAAGUCGGGAACUCUAACAAGACUGCCAGUGCAAACUGUGAGGAAGGUGGGGAUGACGUCAAAUCCUCACGGCCCUUACGCCUUGGGCUACACACGUGCUGCAAUGGCCGGUACAGAGAGCAGCCAGUGGGCGACCAGGAGCGAAUCUAUAAAGCCGGUCACAUUUCGGAUUCGGAGUUCUGCUACUCGACUGCCGUGAAGCUGGAAUCGUCUAGUAAUCGGAUAUCAGCCAUGAUUCCGGUGAAUACGUUCCGGGACCUUGUACGGAUCGCCCGUCAAGCCAUAAAAACUGGGGGUACGUGUAAGUCGGUUACCGCAAGGAGCUGCCU